CCUACGGGCGGCAGCAGUGGGGAAUAUUGCACAAUGGGGGAAACCCUGAUGCAGCGACGCCGCGUGAGUGAAGAAGUAUUUCGGUAUGUAAAGCUCUAUCAGCAGGGAAGAAAUAGCGACCUUUGGGUUGCCAGACGGUACCUGACUAAGAAGCACCGGCUAAGUACGUGCCAGUAGUCGCGGUAAUACGUAGGGGGCAAGCGUUAUCCGGAUUUACUGGGUGUAAAGGGAGCGUCGACGGCAGCGCAAGUCUGAAGGGAAAUGCCGGGGCUUAACCCCGGAACUGCUUUGGAAAGUGUGCAGCUAGAGUGCAGGAGAGGUAAGCGGAAUUCCUAGUGUAGCAGUGAAAUGCGUAGAUAUUAGGAGGAACACCAGUGGCGAAGGCGGCUUACUGGACUGUAACUGACGUUGAGGCGCGAAAGCGUGGGGAGCAAACAGGAUUAGAUACCCGUGUAGUC
rnacentral:rRNA from 1 species